UCAAGCAAAAUGUUCCAACCAAGCACCAGCGAGGAGGUUGGUAGCCAGGAAGACCAGCCAACCCUUCUAUAUCCAUGGCCGUACCUGGAAGAAUUUAUCAAAAUGGUUGGAUGCAAAAACAACUCCUUUCGAAUGUGCUGCAAGCUCUGCGCACCCAAGUACCACAAGCUAUUUACAGUACUUAUAGGAAA